ensembl:lncRNA
GUGUGUGUGUGUGUGUGUGUGUGUGUGUGUGUGUGUGUGUGUGUUUGAAAGAAAGAAAGAAAACGAGAGACAGACAUAAAGAGAAGAGAGCGAAAGCCAUCAUCAGAUAGGAAAGAAAAAUAAAUUGCUAGAGAGUGAGACGGAUGGGGAGGGAGUAAAGGAAUAGAAUGGUCCAGCGAUUAAAGCGCCAUGCUAUUGUAGGAGGAAGGAAUGGCUCCAGAUCAGCUGGGAGACAAAGGAGAGGAGAGGAGCUGAUCUGUUUUGAGUCUCACCAAGUUUGGUCCUCCGAGCCUCAUGGCUGGAGGUUAAUAAUAGGUCUUAAUGGCAUGAACUAAGAUAAAUGAAUGGAGCUGGACUGAUGAACUCAUCUCAGUCGCCCAUCUCUUCUCACUCCCUCUCUCCGACUGACUCUCUAAUUCCGACUUGCAUGUCCACUUUCCAUUCAUAAUUCAUCCAUUUUAUGUGCCAUUGUGACAAAUGAAGGAAUAAAGUUUUCAAUUUGAAGGAUCUCUGAGCGUCUUGUUUCAGAGCUUUAUUGUGCAAUGCACCUCUGAUUCACAGGGCACUGAUGGAGCCUAACAAUGAGGCAACUGAGCUACUAAGCUAAUAUUUACAAUCCUCCUCCUUUGUGUUCUUUGUCUGCCCAUCUCCAACUUUCCUUCCUUUUUCCAUUCUUUCUUCAUCUUGUUUCUAUUCUUACUUAUCCAUUCCUUUAUCUUUCCUUCUUUCUAUCUGUCUUUUUCUUUCUUUCUUUCUUUUUUUCUUUUGUAUAUUUAUAUUUCUCCAUUUCUUUCUUUCUACCUGUCUUUUUCUUUCUUUCUUUCUUUCUUUCUUUCUUUCUUACCUCUUUCUUACCUUAUGUAUUUUGCCACACCAAUAAUCCAGACUGGGUUACAUGACUUACCCUACCCCCCUUGCUGUAGUGAUCAGUUCCAUGCCUUAUUGUUCUGACUCCUGACCAUAGUAGAGCAGACAAACAACAGAUGCCAAUACAUCGUUUCCAAGGAAAGGGUUCAGCUCCCAAAGGUCUUUUUUCCACUGGCACCUAUUGUGUUCGGGCAUUGUAUCACUCCUGGCAGUCCAUGCCUACUGUAAGUCUAUCUGGAUGGUUUACAUUGAUUUGUGUGUGAGAGUGUGUGUGUGUGUGUGUGUGUGUGUGUGUUAGUGU